rnacentral:rRNA from 1 species
UACAGAGGUCUCAAGCGUUGUUCGGAUUCAUUGGGCGUAAAGGGUGCGUAGGCGGCGCGGUAAGUCGGGGGUGAAAUCCCUCAGCUUAACUGGGGAACUGCGUCUGAUACUGGAUGGCUUGGAUUCGGGAGAGGAAUGCGGAAUUCCAGGUGUAGCGGUGAAAUGCGUAGAUAUCUGGAGGAACACCGGUGGCGAAGGCGGCAUUCUGGACCGACAUUGACGCUGAGGAGCGAAAGCCAGGGGAGCAAACGGG